UGCUUAGUAGCGGCGAGUGAACAGGCAAGAGCUCAGAUUUGAAAGCCUUUCGGGGCAUUGUAUUCUGAAGCCUUGGUCCUGGGAAACCGAUGUCUAAGUCUUCUGGAAAGGAGCGCCAUGGAGGGUGAUAGCCCCGUACGACAUUGACCCCACUGUAGGACCUUGGCAUGGAGUCGAGUUGUUUGGGAAUGCAGCUCAAAUGGGUGGUAUGCUCCAUCUAAAGCUAAAUAUCUGCGAGAGACCGAUAGCGAACAAGUACUGUGAAGGAAAGAUGAAAAGAACUUUGAAAAGAGAGUGAAAAAGUACGUGAAAUUGUUGAAAUGGAAGGGUAGGCCGCUAACCACGUAGAGUCGUGUUUGGGGGGAAGAUAAAAGCUGAAGAAUGUAACUCCUUGGAGUAUUAUAGCUUCAGUCCAUAUUCCCACCCGAGCGCGAGGACUUAAGACUCUGCUAAAUGGUGGUCUACCACCCGUCUUGA
rnacentral:rRNA from 1 species